GGGCGCGUAGCUCAGGGGAUAGAGCAUCUGCCUUCUAAGCAGAGGGUCGCAGGUUCGAAUCCUGCCGCGCCUGCCA
rnacentral:tRNA from 1 species